GUUCUCGGCUACGUGUUGUGGCUCAUCGUGUCUGUAUCUGCCUUCAAGCUUGUCCUAGCAGGAACAUUGCCUGGUGCACUGUUGUAGCAACGAUCACAGCAUGCAGACUCUAGCGAUGGUUUUGUGGACGACAUCAAUCCUUCUGGAGGUCAAGGGUCAAGAAGAUGAACUGUGGGAUCCUUGGCUAGACAACUGCGAGUCCAUGGUCCCCUAUAACCUGACUGAACCCUAGACCGACCCUAUGCCCUACAUAGUUACUCUUAACAGACCAUACAUCAACAGCGAUCAGGCGGUGUACGUCUAUAUAAAAGCACUACCUCCAUUCAGUUUCCAGGGUCUCAUGAUUCAGGCUCGGGACGACAAGACCGGUCAGGAUGUCGGGGAGUUCGACACAGACAACAGGAAGAUCAGCGUCAUUAAUUGCUUCGGCAGACCAGAUAGCACGGCCACGCACGCUGACAAUUCCCCCAAGACGGAGGUGACGGCCAGAUGGGCGCCCGAGGAUGACAAUGACGCUACCGUCACAUUUUAUGGGUCAGUACUGUAGCAGGAUCUGGUUGCUACUAUUUCUUCACGAAGCCCAGCUGCUGCAGCACCUGCCUCGCCACACUGUUGAUGUGACGAAAGCGGUCUGGGCCAAUGUCGACACCUCCACGCCAGCGAGUCACCACUACCAUCACGUUAGUAGCUCCCGUAGCCUGCAACAAACAAAAAAACAAUAUGAGAGUACAUUCUUAAUUAUUAGGCAUGCACACAAGUUUUCUAAUUCACGCCCUCCCACACAUAGCUAUAAAAAUUAUUGUAAUCUCAAGAUACUCUAGUCUAGCUGUGGACAUGUACUUUUGUUUAUGUUUAACGUUACGACCGAUGAGUUUCUGAAACUAAGAAAAUUUUAAUCCACAACAUUGUAUUAUGUUUUAUCGUAACAACACUCAUGUAUAAAAUGUUUGGGUCUGCCUACCUGCAGUAAAUGUAAUGACCGCCCCCCUACAAACGUUCUCCCGGUCAUUAGAGCAGUGCUGGGCUGUGCGGACGGUACAUCAUGCUGGAGCACUCAGUAUGCAUAGAUAUUGUGUGGCGCUUUGCCAAUCUAUUGCCUGAUAUAAAAUGUUUCAGUAUGCCUACUUGCAGUAAAUGUAACAACCGCCCCCCCCCUCAGCAGCGAUCUCCCCGUCAUCAUCACAGUGCUGAGCAGUGCGGCCACCCACACCGUCCUUAAGCACACGUUAUGCGCAGAGAUCGUAUGUUGUUUUGUCAAUCUACUGUCUAAUGUAAAUUUUUUUAGUAUGCCUACUUGCAGUAAAUGUAACAACCGCCCCCCAGCAGUGACUCCGCGUCAUAUUUUCAGUGUUUGCCGAGCGUCAUGGCACACCGUCGUGAAGCAUUCGUUAUGCAUUAAUAGAUAUUGCGUGUUGCUAUGCCAAUCUACUGUCUGAUACAAAAUGUUUGAGUCUGCCUACCUGCAGUAAAUAUAACAACCACCCCCCCCCCUCAGCAGCGUUCUCCCCGUCAUCAUCACGGAGUUGUUUGAGGUCCGGCACACCUUCCUAGAGCAUUCCGUAUGAGUAGAUAUUGUGUGUUGCGUUGCCAAUCUACUGUCUGAUAUAAAAUGUUUAUGUCUUCCUACCUUUAGUAAAUGAAAAACGGGCUCCCAGCAGCGUUCUGCCCGUCAUAUUUUGCUGAGCCUGAAACACCGUUUCUUGGUCUACUGGACGAAAGUUUAGCCUGAUCAACUAAACAAGGUUAUAUUUGCGUAGUGACGCGCCAACGCAAAAUUCGUCAAUCACCAAUGAAACGGUGUGUGUCAGCCCCGACCUUGAAAAGAUAGAUAACUUGGUAGUUGUUAUAUGUUACAAUGAAGUAGGAUACCAGAUGACGAAAUCUGAAGUACAAGGUUCGUCCACCAAGCGCUGGGAGUGACGAGUCAUGAACGGAACGUUGAGCUUAGGAGUUCCUGGUCUGUUUAGCGGAGUGCAGAGUUUAAGACAGAUGACCGACCCUCUUCAGCUUCGUGGGAGGUUUUCCGUGAUUUUUACAUAUUUUUGAAGAGACUGUACGUAAGGCAAACUGCACGCGCCAGGACAUUGAGCGGCACAGACUGUACGCGGGGUCUACUGGGAGCUUCGCUGACUGUGAGGAGUACGCGCACUUAACUUCCUUGCGUCACGACUUGACUGGUUGUGGAGUCACGGGCCUGAGAAGUGACUGCGACACGAUAAGUCAAACAUUUUUAAUUCUUGUAUGGCCAUACUCAAAUAUUUAACUUGUGUACACGUUAAUUGAAAGCAGCUGUGGACUUUGUGGACAGUUGCAGGACUCGCUCGCCAGUGAGUGUCUUCACACCAGCAAAGGAUUUUUGCCUUCGUAUUUUAGUUUAGUAUUCGUAUUAAAUAACACUCUCACGAAUGUUCUCUAUCAAACAUAAAACUAACAUGUAUUUACUAUACUACUAACAACCAUUAUUCCCAGUAUAAUAUCCAGACCCUCAAAUCAACGUUUAUUAACUAAACUACUUUCAACCAGUACUCAAAGUAUAAUAUCCAGACUCUGAAAACCAGAUUCUCUGUUAUGCUACUGAAAUGAUCUGCAAAUUCUGCUUACUAAUGAACAUUAGCUUUGUUUAGACUGUCUCGUAAUCUGUAAGAAUUGCAAUAAUUUAUAUAUUUGUCUGUGAACUAUAUUAUAAAUAAU